rnacentral:lncRNA from 1 species
AUGCGUUGCGCUCUUUUGGUUAAUAGUUAAUUGGGGUCAUCGUGCAUGUUUAAGUAGCUGUGUAUUUGCUAUUAAUGGAUCCAGUCGUGCAUGUUUAAGUAGCUGUAUAUUUGCUAUUAAGGACUCCAUAAUCUGACCAAAUGAGCUUGAUGCUGAACCGAAGGGCCUUGGUGCGUUUUAAAUUAUACAUAUUGUUUCGGAUUUUAGCUUAUGUUAUUUUUCUUUUGUUUUUUCUUUGGUAUUAGAGUGCAUUUAAUUGGGAAAGAUUUUGGCUAUUCCCUUUGGAAGACCACUAGAAGCUGACCCAGUAUUUUGUAGGAAAACCACGUUUCUAGCUUGCUCUGGCGUGUUUGCAUUCCUGGUAUUAACUGUCAAAAAUUAUUAAAGAUGUUUUAAAACCAUGUAAAAUAAUCAAUUCAUGUAUAUAGUUGAGGGGUGUGCAUGGUUCGGUUUUCCGUUUUUUAAAACCGCUCGGUUUCGGUUAGGGUUUU